rnacentral:lncRNA from 1 species
CAGAGGGUGAUCCCAGUCAGAGCUAAUCUCAGAGACAGUGAGGGAAGUCUGCAGGAGGCUUCAUCUGUGACAUUUCUGCUUGUCCAGUAAUGUGGUAUUGUCAGGCACAAACUGCCUGACAGACACAUUGCUACAUAAAAAACAGAUGGUCUUUCUUCUCUUCUGUCCAAACUCACAGAAGGGUCCCAGCCAGCCUUGGUGGUAGAUGCUUCUCCCUAAGUAAGGUUCCCAUCAGAGCCAAGUUUCAGGGUGAUAUAUGCUGGGUUACUGGCAUGCUCAGAGGAUUUACUAAUUACAAUUUUCUCAUUUUGCAGGAAGAGGAAAAGUCUGUGAAAAAGAAAAGCAAACACAAGAAGAGCAAAGAGAAGGAGGAGAGCAAAGAGGAGAAAAAGAAAAAGAAGAAGAGAAGCAAGGAGAAAAACAAUGAGAUAGAUGAACUGGAGGCUUUUCUUGGAGGAGGAGCCAGCAUGAGCAAGCCACGAGGAGGUGUGUCUGCCCAGGCCCAUGAGCUGCUUGUCCCUCCAGGAUUCUUUCACAAAAGGACAGCCUUCUGUCACAUCCUCGUGUUUUUGCAUUCUCACACUUUGUGGAAAGGGGUGCUAAAUUAAAAAUCAUUCAGAAAGAGUUGAACUUAAAAACCAUGAUUUUUUUUUUCCCAAAGCUGAGGUCUGUCCUGAGAGAGCUGUUGUUUCAUACAGCACGUAAAGGAGAAGGCAUUUUUGUUCAGCUCAGCCUUCUUGAGAAUGCAGCUCAUGGGUUAGCAGAAGGUUGAACAAGCGCUGAGCCCCCUAGAAAUGUUUAUGUUGGCAUUGGUUUGUUUUUCACCUGGGCCAGAUUUGACUACCAGUAGGAGCCUUUACACUCCCUGCAGCUCAGGUUCAUUGUCAACACAAGGAACUGAGACAAAAACAAGCAAAGAUGAAUCAUUUUGAUCCAAAAUUCUCCUUUAAAAGAAGCAGAUAUAGGAGCUCUCUUUACUUACACUAGAGACCAAGGAGGGCAUGUGGCAUAUUUUGGCUUUGACAGCAAGGCCAGAGAAAUCCUAUGUAGUGGGUAAAGUGGGAGUGUGGAGAAGAAUAGCAGCAAAAAGGCAUUUUUUAGGCUUAGAUUUAUCCCUUUUCCAGAAAAUGCUGAACUAGUUAAAGCUACAGAGUAAGGUGUAAUCCAGCGCUGGCAAGCGUGAGUGAGGAGAGAAAGAAAUAGACCUUGUCUGAAUUGGGCUCACCCAUGCCCAGUCUUUCAAAAAAGCUAAAUAUAAGAAGUAUGUGUACGUGCCUGUAACUGUAGGGAAGCUUCUGCAGGAUCACAUUGAUAUAAAUAGAUCCUGUGAGUAUCUCUAGAGUUACCAGUGUGUGUUUUUAUCUGUUUGGGUUUAUCAGUCAUCCAAAAAAAAAAAUCAAGACCUUAAGACUGAGGAGCUGCAAUUUCUUAUGAUUAACUCUGGCCAGAGCUGCAUGUUGUAUAAAGUCUCAUUUGGUAAAGAGCAGCAGGAGGGAGAAGUGCAAAUUUGUGUAAUCUGACGGUUUGAAGGGCCUGGUUCUCAAGUACAGCAAGGGCAGCACUGGCCUCGAGGGCUACUACUGUAGGCACACGUCUGAAAGCUGCACUGCCUGCUCCCCUGCCUCCAUACUGCUGUGGGACUGAGAUCCCAUGGGGUGCUCUGACAUGGUACAGUUAAAUCUCAGCUUCCACUGUGCCCAUCUGAAGCCAAACCAUCCGUGAUAAGUCAUGAGAGGUAACUACAAGGUCCUGUUCCCACCCACUGUAUCUUCCCAGCCAG